UGGGGAAUAUUGCACAAUGGGCGCAAGCCUGAUGCAGCCAUGCCGCGUGUGUGAAGAAGGCCUUCGGGUUGUAAAGCACUUUCAGCGGGGAGGAAGGCGUUAAGGUUAAUAACCUUGGCGAUUGACGUUACCCGCAGAAGAAGCACCGGCUAACUCCGUGCCAGCAGCCGCGGUAAUACGGAGGGUGCAAGCGUUAAUCGGAAUUACUGGGCGUAAAGCGCACGCAGGCGGUCUGUCAAGUCGGAUGUGAAAUCCCCGGGCUCAACCUGGGAACUGCAUUCGAAACUGGCAGGCUAGAGUCUCGUAGAGGGGGGUAGAAUUCCAGGUGUAGCGGUGAAAUGCGUAGAGAUCUGGGGGAAUACCGGUGGCGAAGGCGGCCCCCUGGACAAAGACUGACGCUCAGGUGCGAAAGCGUGGGGAGCAAACAGG
rnacentral:rRNA from 1 species